AUGUCAGUUUAAGGGAGUGGACUCCGUCGCCGAAAAGAUCGACGCGACAUAAAAGCCAAGCGGCCACUAGAAGAAGUAAAUUAAUUAAAACAUUUAGCCAGUAGGGGAGCUGAAUGCAAUUUCUGCUGUUCAAAAUAUGAUGCUGGUAAGGUAAGGUAGGCCUUAUAAGCAAGCGAGACGUCUGAAUGUGACAACGACAAUGUAGUAUCGUUGGAGCGAGCAGUGGCAUGUCCGUGUACCUACGAGACUGCAAGGUUUUGGUUCUGUCCUAUUUAUGUCUCGACAAUGCAGAUUCGAGACCUCUUAAUAGUCGUAUUCGCUAGAUAAAUGUUCAAACUUGUGCGCAAACUCCUAUAGGUAGUCUACUUUUGCUCUUUUGUGUCAUAAUUAACAAUAUUCGGCAGCAUGAUACCGCCCAUGAAGACUGGCGAGCAGCCGUGCCGAGACACACUCAUACAUGCAACGCCCGGUGGAAAGUCGUUGUGCCUACGAGUAGGCUGCGUGAUGCCGCGAUACCUGAAAGUAAGGGUCUAGCCGAAUAAGCGAGACUUUCAAUAUUACAUUUGUGACAUUUUUCUGAUUACAAUGAUACCACAUAUAAUACAGUUCGGGUAGUAUUUACAAUAAUUUAUGGGCGACGCGGAGAAAAUGCCGUUUCGAAAACGUUCAACAGCUCACAAGGGGAAGUCGCGAUCCGGACGAGCGCUUUUUGAACGAGAUCGAGCUCACAAAGAGACAUCGCCUAGUGUCCCCCGAAUUUUUUAAUCAAAUUACUUUCAUAUGUAAAGAAGUUUAUGUAGAACAAUCUCUGCAAGUGAGAAGCGCGACUGUCUUUCAUUUUUGAGAAAUAAAUUUUUAAAAAUAGCUAACUUUCAAUUGACGUGUGUCGACCAUACAAGAAUCGAAGGUAUCAUAGAAGCAGCGUGGCAUUCGUUCGACUACCUCCGCAGGGGUCGGAUGUAUUACCUGUGCGCUCCGCUACCGAUCCGUGAAGUGCCGCUAACGGUGACACCCUACGUGACUUUUGUGACACGCUAGUGAAUCUUCGUCGAUUUGUAUAAAUUACAGUGCUUUAAUAAUAAUUAACCAAACACAAACAAUUGAGGCAGUAUUCAAAGAAUUAGGAGAUGCAUCCCCUACAAGUGUAGCACAACAAGGCGUAGCCAAAAUCGUGAAUAAAGUGAAAAGUGCUCACCCGUCACAUAUUAUCACGACGGACAAAAACGUUAUAGAAACAGACGACAUCAUUCUCUCGUCUCUCACGAGAGAAUAUAUCAAGUCCAAAUCAAAUGUGUAGAGGCUAAACCCCGCGGCAAGGUUGACCACGCGCAAGGUACCGGCGUUGCCGGAAACCGCCAAAAUGAAAGCGAAGACGAAAGAAAAAGGACCAAGCGACGACAAGCCGUCUUACGAUGAAUUGUUAAAAAUGAUUAGCAAUUUAAAUAAUACCAUCAGUGAGCUCUUCAAGCAGCUCGCUGAAAAAAGAAAAAUCAGGGAGGCGAAAGAAGCAGCUGAACGGAGGCUACAGGAGACAAAGGCGCCCCUGGGAAAACCAGCGACGUCACCCAGCAUGCCCGAGGACGUCGCCAUCUUGGACGCGUCGGCGGAGGACAACGGCGACUGGAACAAAGUCGCAACAAAGAGGCAGAGCGUCCAAACCAACACCAACACCACGGGAAACAAACGCAAGAGGAUCGCCACCCCUUCAACCAGCCAGCAGGUAGAACCCAUCGCCCAGGCGACUCUACCGAAGAAGAAGCCGAGGUUCACCGACGAGGUAACGGUACCUUUGACCGAAAAUACUAAAGUUGCGCGACCCCCACCUAUAACAGUUUACAAUAGUAACUCUAGAGAAACAGUAGAGACCAUCGCGACAAUCACAAAAGACUUUUACAUUAAAAAAAUUAACGUCAGUAAACACACAGUCCGCAUAAACUCAAUAGAACACUUCAAAACCGCGUGCGUUGCUUUAAAAGAGAAUAAUAUCGAAUAUUAAUAUUAACUAUUCUUUUGAAAAACCUGGAAGGAGACUACGAUCCAAAAGUAGUACUCGCCGAAUUAAAAAAACAACAUAUCAGCAACGUAAAUUUCGCGACCGUCAACAAAUUUAAAACCCAAAAGUCGAUUAGGGAAGGCAAAAACCUCUCAAUAUACCUGGUUCAAUUAUCGCCAAAUAGUAAAUUUGAAAAUGCUCAACAAAUUAGAGUCGUGCUUCACUCCCUUGUCACAUGGAAGAAAUUAAUUAAAAAAGACCGCAUCCAAUGCAAGAGAUGCCAACGGAUAGGAUACGUUGCACUUAACUGCAAUCUGAAUUACAGAUGCGUUAAGUGUAACAUUCAACACAACCCGGGAGAGUGCUCUUUUCCGUAGCAGGCACUAGCGCAGAAGAUGACGCGGAAACGCGUCCCUUCUGCGUAAACUGCAGAAACUUCGGACACCCUGCGUCGUACAGAGGUUGCCUGAAGUUGAAAGAAUUGAAACAGAAAAUAGAAGAGAAAAAAACACAAAUUAGAUUAGAAAAAGAAAGGAAACACCAAUUAGCAAAUAAAUUCAUUAAACUGAACAUUUCAUUCAGCGCGAUAGUAGCGAACAACGUCCAGACAGCGAUCCCCAAAACACAACCAACAAUAACACGGACGCAACAACAACCACCCAAGACGUUCUCAACACACCUGUUCCUAGAGGAGAUAAAGAACAUUAUCUCCUCAUCCAUAAAUACACACAUUGCUCGUAUCGCGGAAAACGUACAAGCAAACGCGAAUAAAAUCAACAUAAUAACAGAAACAUUAGGUAUUGAACUCUAAACUCCACAAAUGGCCAACACACAACACACUCCACAAAACAAAACAAGCUUUGCUUUAUUAAAAAUAAUUCAGAUCAAUGUCAAUUCCAUUAUCACUAACGAGAGAAGAGUCACUCUCCUGGACACACUCACACAACACAACCCAGACAUAAUUUUAUUAUCGGAAACAAAAUUAAACCACACACACAGAAUAAACUUUAGAGACUAUCACAUACUCCGCACAGAUAGACCGCGUUCCAAACAAGCUGGCGGCACAGGCAUAAUCAUCCGAAAAAACAUCUCGUUUAGACGCAUCCAACCAAACUGUUUAAAAAAUAGCAUCAGUUUCGAGUCCACAAUAAUAGAACUUAAAUUACAGAAUAAUUGCACAUUUUAUAUUAUUGCAGGAUAUGCAACUAGCAACUGCAAAACAGAAUUUAUGAUAGAGUUGAAGAAAUUAUUUGAAAUCCUUGAAUUACAUAGAUCAAAUCACUAUUAACUUUAGCCGGCGCGGCGGUAAUACCUUGAAGAACGCAAGAGGCGUAUCGGUUAACAAAUGGUAUUCCGAAAGCAGAAUCAAAUAUAGAACCUCCUUACUCAAAACUGCAGUCCCAUCAUUUCCAAAAAGCGGAGCGUACCUCGAUCUCUGCCUCGCGGACGAAAGAAUUAAAUUCCACAAUCUACCUGCUCCAAAAGCCCUAGACACUUUUACAUACGACAGCGAUCAUAGAGCAUCUUUAAUGAACAUCUCGAUUCAGACACUCAACACACUGGAACUAGACGAACCUUCGACGACAAUUUUAACAAAGCCGACUGGGCAAAAUAUCGCGACUUCUUAAUAGAAAAUGAUGACACAGAUAUUACAAACGACAGAAACUUAACGAAAAACAAAAUCGACGCACACUUAGACAAGCUGAACAACAAUAUAUCUCAAGCAAUAGACUUGGCAGUACCGCGAAUAAACAACGACUUCAACUCUACAGACAGAUACCUUAACCCUAAAAUUAAAAACCUCCGGAGGCACAAGAGCCGUCUGCUCACAUGCCUAAAUAACCUAUCAAGAAUACUCUCCCCGGCGGGAUACCGACCACUAUACUACCAGGGAGGGCGCAAUAGUUAUUAAUAAGUAAAUGAGACAGUAGAUACUGUCUGUGUCAAUAUGUAUUAUUAAUUUAAUUAUUACUAUCUGACUUAAUUGUAACUAAGGAGUAGUUAGGGUCGUUAAAACUACUUAAAUUUAAACGGUGCGUGUUACAUUGUGUGUUGUGUGUGUAUAAUACAUAGGUGUGACAGGUGUGAUCUGAUUAUGUUUAACUGAACUGCAACCACCAGUACUUGUCCGUGUUGUGUCUGUGUUUGUCGUUCAAGUCUAUCGUCGAUAGUCUGUAGUUGGAACGUAUGUCGGGGUCGUCAAAUUGUGUAUUUAUUGGAUAUUGUUCACCCUAACAAUUCCUAUAACAACUAUUAUCCUACUUCACAACGCAUACACAAGUCUAACACUUUCACUACCUCUACUAAUUGAAAUCCACACUACACAAUUAGAAUGAUCCUUUAAAUGAAUCAACUAAUGCAAUAAGACUUAGACAACUUUAAGUAAUCAAUCCUUAAAACAAAAAUCAAAACUAUUCAAGCUACUAUCCCAGCAAUAAAUCUUAUUCCCUCUAUAUAGAGAACUCUGAGCAUCUCGCUCAUCAUUCAUUCUAUCCAAUCUCCCAACAAUAACCAACCCCUAAAAAUGCAAUUAUCCAAACAGUCCCCAUAACAAAACCAUUAAUUUGCUCCACAACAUAAAUUACUAAACCAACACUCAGAAUACCUCUAAUAACUCAAACCUUCACUCUCUGACUAGAAGGAUCCUUCAAUCUCCUAAAAUGAAUCAACCAACCCAAGAAUACAUAGGCUAAUGAAAUUAAUUAAUUCUUAAAACACGCAACUGAAUGCAAACAAACUCAAUACGUAUCCUGAUAUUAGUCAACCUUACAACAAUAAAACUACACCUCUAACUAAAACCCAAAAGAAGAACACUACUGCUAGGAACUUAACCGAAUAGUCUCUUAGGAUGUAUAAAUACAGAAGUCCUAACCCAAUAUGACCAAUCACCACCAUGUUCAUCCUUAUAGAUUAACAAAACACUAUCCACACCCCCAAAUCACCAGCAAAACCAAUAAUCAACCCCAAAACCUAAAAACAACAACCAACAGACCAGACACCCACCAAUACCACAACGGAAGAAGACACGUAAACACAAACUCAUCUAGAAAAAACAAACAUCCAACACCCCAUCCUCUACCCCCAAUAAAACACGUAUAUCCACCAAGGCAACAACGAACCCAUAAUAACUCACCCAAUACACACAGACAAUAACAUAUAUCCCAAACCCACAACCAUUACACACGCACAGACUCCACACACAACAAAACGCCCAUAAUACAAGCAAAACGGGAUCCUAUAAGACGAAAUAGGAAAACAAAAGCUCAACAAGCUGUCAUUGCAACCUCCCCAAUUAAGAUGGAAAGGACACCCCAACCAACCACUAGAGCCCAACCCCGCAAGCCACCCAAUCAGAAUUACCCGCCCACCGCUACCGACAGACGAAACACGAUAGUCGAACAGGUAGAACUCCCAGCCCCACCCAACAUACAGCGACCACCAUCCAAACACCAGCCUCGAACCACCAAUGAACCACAUAAGCACCCCUCCACACUACCCUGAAAAUCCUACCCCCACCAAUAAACCCACUCUCCACAAACAUCAAGUUCCUAUCAACCCCACCACCUCUCCCACCCCCUAACAGAGCCGCUAGACCAGACCAUCAGAUCCCUGCUAUUCAAUCAUAACAUUAUGACAAAACCGAAUAAGACCCUAUAGAGGAUAGCAAAUAAAAAAGGACAUACAAGGGGCUCGUAAAUAAAUAAAUAAUUAAGAUAUACAAGUUUUAUUCUCCAAACUCGAAUCAAGAAAUACAAUCUCAAAUACACGUAGCCCUCUCGUAAGAAUAGCACGGCAAAACAACAAUAAGUCAUAGAGCACGCUUAACUUAACACAAAUAAACCAAAUAUCAGAAGAACAUUCUCAAGGACGCCCCCCCCCCCCCCCCCUCUGCCAAACCCACAUCCACAGCGAACUAAGACGUGAAGAUACAGAAGCAAUAAUCCCUCCCCUAGGAUAGAGCUCAAUGAUCCUAACUGGAGUGUGAACUGCGAGAGAGAAGCCGGUCCGAGAGAGAUGCAAGAUGAGUGGUUCCGGUGGUACUAUCCUAUAGCAAAUUUAUGUGUGGAGAGGGAACAGACUCCUCUUUGUUUGAAUUUCGCGGCACUCUAGGAAUUAUUUACAGAUUAAUUAUGUACAGACCCCCUGGGGGUCUAUUCUCGAGUUUCGUGUGAAUUUAGUCGUAUACGAACACUUUCGUAUGGCGUGUUUCGUGUACGAAUCAUUCACAUAUGAAAACGGUAUUCUGGAGCACUAUACGAAUCACUGAUUCGUAUACGUAUGAAACAGUAUUGCCAGAUUUACGCGUUGGAGACGAACCAAUGAUUGUUCAACUUUAGAAAAUACCAACGGAAAUAUACAUGGCGUCCUGUCAAUGUCACGUGUAGUUUUCCGUAAAGGAGAACGCUGUGCAAGAGGCCCUAGCCGUCCGUUUAUUACACUCAAGUUGUAAUGUUUUAUUGCGGCCACGGGAUGCGACGGUACUUCCGAGUGACCAUGUGUUUUCCCAAAUUUAGAAACUUGGCAGUAUUAACCGAGAAGCGUUUGAGGAAAGGCAGUAUUAUCCCACAAGCGUUUGCGGAAAUAUCGUGGAAAGAAUUGCGUGAAACAAAAAUGUGCGACGAGGGUAAACCAACUAAACGAACAGGGAACAUAUCCCGCGAGCAAAAAGAAAUUCUUAUUGAAUGUAUAGAAUCAAACCCAAACCUAACGAGGUCAAAAUUUUCGGCCGACUAUACGUAGAAGGAUGGGCAGCGUUUGUGGCAAAAAAUAACCAAUAUUUUAAACGCUUCGCCAGGGGCGAAGAAAGAUUGGAAACAAUGGAGACGUACGUGGCAAGAUUUCCGAGGAAAAGCGAAGGCAAAGCAGUCUUCUAUUAACAGAAAAUUAAAUGCCACAGGCAGUGGUCCGUUAAAUACAGAAAGUUUCUCGGUGGAGGAGGAACGUGUCCUAAACACAAUCCAUGCAACACAAGUAAAGGGUGAUUCCAGUAUAGAUGAAACGCCGAUACAAUUUAACUACUCCGAAGAAUAUUUAGAUACAGACUUGGUGGACAAUGAGAAGGUGGAAAACCAGCAGACUCUCAACCUGGCCCUUCAAUAAUAGUAGAGAGACCGACGAUUAAGAUAGAAAAAGUGAGACAGAAACACCCUCUACGUCGAGCCACUAAACUACAAAAACAAACCUCUGGCAUGAAAUCACAAGCUUUCAGUGCUUCUGACACGAAUAGCCGAGGAAGAUAAAGAAAAUAAAAAGGAAUAUUAUAAUAAAAAAUUGGCAUUGCUGGAGAGGAAUGUAGUAGCUAAAGAAAGAAUUGCGGCAGCCUUAGAAACUUUAGCUACUACACAUUACGGAUGAAACAUAUGAAAGUUCUAUCUUUCGAAAAUUUGCAUAGUAUAAUAAAUUUCAAUUUUGAAUUAGAAGUGGAAUAGGCCUAUUGGGACAUCACUUUAAAAAAAACGUGUUGAAGGCAAUAUUAACUCAUGGGUAACGUGGAAAGAUAUUGCAAUUGUAAUGGAAAAGAGGUACAAAUAAUUUGUUCAUAACAGUAUAGUGUAAAACAUUUACUAGAUGAAUUCGAAUGUAAUUAUUCCAAAUUGUAAUGAAUACAAAAGUAAUCAUUACUUUAGAGCUCUGUAUAUAAGUUAAGGUGCCUGUACAUAUCUACUUUAAAAUAGUAAUGUAAUAAUAAAGUAGUUAUAAAAAUGACUGAUAUUCUAUCAUUAAGG